rnacentral:rRNA from 1 species
CGGCGUGCUUAACACAUGCAAGUCGAACGAUGAUGCCCACUUGUGGGUGGAUUAGUGGCGAACGGGUGAGUAACACGUGAGUAACCUGCCCUUGACUCUGGGAUAAGCCUGGGAAACUGGGUCUAAUACCGGAUAUGACCUUCCAUCGCAUGGUGGUUGGUGGAAAGCUUUUGUGGUUUUGGAUGGACUCGCGGCCUAUCAGCUUGUUGGUGGGGUAAUGGCCUACCAAGGCGACGACGGGUAGCCGGCCUGAGAGGGUGACCGGCCACACUGGGACUGAGACACGGCCCAGACUCCUACGGGAGGCAGCAGUGGGGAAUAUUGCACAAUGGGCGCAAGCCUGAUGCAGCGACGCCGCGUGAGGGAUGACGGCCUUCGGGUUGUAAACCUCUUUCAGUAGGGAAGAAGCCGCAAGGUGACGGUACCUGCAGAAGAAGCGCCGGCUAACUACGUGCCAGCAGCCGCGGUAAUACGUAGGGCGCAAGCGUUAUCCGGAAUUAUUGGGCGUAAAGAGCUCGUAGGCGGUUUGUCGCGUCUGCCGUGAAAGUCCGGGGCUCAACUCCGGAUCUGCGGUGGGUACGGGCAGACUAGAGUGAUGUAGGGGAGACUGGAAUUCCUGGUGUAGCGGUGAAAUGCGCAGAUAUCAGGAGGAACACCGAUGGCGAAGGCAGGUCUCUGGGCAUUAACUGACGCUGAGGAGCG